rnacentral:rRNA from 1 species
GACGAACGCUGGCGGCGUGCUUAACACAUGCAAGUCGAACGGAAAGGCCCUGCUUUUGUGGGGUGCUCGAGUGGCGAACGGGUGAGUAACACGUGAGUAACCUGCCCUUGACUUUGGGAUAACUUCAGGAAACUGGGGCUAAUACCGGAUAGGAGCUCCUGCUGCAUGGUGGGGGUUGGAAAGUUUCGGCGGUUGGGGAUGGACUCGCGGCUUAUCCGCUUGUUGGUGGGGUAGUGGCUUACCAAGGCUUUGACGGGUAGGCGGCCUGAGAGGGUGACCGGCCACAUUGGGACUGAGAUACGGCGCAGACUCCUACGGGAGGCAGCAGUGGGGAAUAUGGCACAAUGGGCGGAAGCCUGAUGCAGCAACGCCGCGUGCGGGAUGACGGCCUUCGGGUUGUAAACCGCUUUCGCCUGUGACGAAGCGUGAGUGACGGUAAUGGGUAAAGAAGCACCGGCUAACUACGUG